CUUUUGUUACUUUUCUACUGCUGUUAAGAUAAAAGUCACUGUUGGGAUCCAGCCUUUUUGUUUGUAUAAACUGAUCCCCCAGGGCAAAAGAGAAACCCCUCCUUCACUGACCCUUCCAGUAACUGUGCAGACAGUUACAGGAUGCGGUUCACAUGUGUGUUAACCUCGCAUAACAAAGCCGGCAAGAAACAUCUCCAGGGUGAGGUCAAGACAGCUGCACCCCUGACUCAGAUCCCCAACCCCGACCCAGUUCUCCUGCACCCCCGACUCAGCUCCGGCACCCCAACCUGGUUCUGGCCCUAUAAAACCCUACAGUCUGUAAGUCGGGCUGCCUCCUCUGGUUUUCUCAAGAGGUAGUCCCGCAGGACUGACAAUAAAUCAGCUUGCCUGAACUUGGCUU
rnacentral:lncRNA from 10 species